ACUUUUUAAUUAUUUAUAUUUAGUAAUCAAUUAUUAAAGGUAAUUAUAUUUACAAUUUCAAGUGUAAUAGGUA
rnacentral:tRNA from 1 species